AUGACGACGAUGAAGAAGUCACCGCCAAUCCAGGCGCGCCACGUCAUCAGGUUGAGCUGGAAGCUGGUGAUCGUCCUCUCUGUCGCAGCUUUGCGUAUGGGCCUUGUUCCGGCUCCACUCGCAGCCCGACCUCUUCUCCUCCUCUCCGUCUUCGUUGGUCGUAGCGAGAUCUCGAAUUUCCCGCCACGGCAAAAGCUUCACCGGCACUCCGAAGAUCGCGUUCCUUUUCCUCGCCCGCCGUAGCCUCCCGCUCGAUUUUCUCUGGGGCAGCUUCUUCGAGAAUGCUGAAGCGCCGAAUUUUUCGAUUUACAUUCACUCGGCGCCUGGUUUUGUGUUCGAUGAGUCGACGACGCGGUCUCAUUUCUUUUACGGCCGUCAAUUGACGAAUAGCAUACAGGUGGGUUGGGGAGAAUCGAGUAUGAUCGAAGCGGAGAGGCUGUUGUUCGCAACAGCUCUUGAGGAUCCCGCGAAUCAAAGAUUUGUACUCCUUUCUGAUAGUUGUGUUCCUCUGUACAACUUCAGCUAUGUAUACAGUUACAUGAUGGCUUCUUGCAGGAGUUUUGUGGACAGCUUUCUUGACGUAAAGGAGGGCCGCUACAAUCCUAAAAUGUCACCUUACAUACCAAAAGAAAAAUGGCGAAAAGGAUCCCAGUGGAUUGCUUUGGUACGAAGCCAUGCAGAAGUCCUUGUGGACGACGAUGUUGUUCUUCCAGUGUUCAAAAGUUUUUGCAAGCGUCGCCCGCCUGUGGAUGUCAGAAAGGGGAAGCUGAAUCUUAAACUUCAGAAGCAGCACAACUGUAUCCCAGAUGAACACUACGUGCAGACACUGUUUGCGAUGAGUGAGCUUGAAGGCGAACUUGAGCGAAGGACAUUAACCUAUUCGUUGUGGAACAAUUCUGCUGCAACUAAAACCGAGAGUAAAGGCUGGCAUCCUAUGACUUUCAACCAUGCGAAUGCGGCUCCUAAAAAAAUAAAAGAAAUAAAGGAUAUCAACCACGUAUACUAUGAGACAGAAUACCGGACAGAAUGGUGUCGUGUCAAUUCAAAAUACGUUCCUUGUUUCUUAUUCGCAAGGAAAUUCUCCCCGGGAGCUGCCAUGCGCCUUCUUAGCGGGGGAGUAGUCGGUCAAUUUGAUACCUCUGCACUAUUAAAUCCGCCACCAUGAUCUUAUACUUGCGAGUUCUUACCGAUGCUCACUGACUGUUAGCUUACACAAAAACUAUAAUCUGGGCAAAGUAGAAAGCCCACUAGAGGUUUACAGAUACCAUACUCACCCACACGACAGAUUUCGAUACCAAGUGCAGUAGAAAGGUUGGUUGAUGCGGCUGAUCAUCUUUGUUCGAAGAUGAUGAGUUUACUCUUGUAAGAGAGAUGAUAGGAAUUGGAUAUCUUCGAGUGUAUCCGGUUAAAUUUUCGUUCUGUAAGCUCCAGCGGAAUUGAAUGUCGUGGAUUUCUGUUGUGACCCAUAAAGAAUGUAGUUAACGAGUUCCGAAAUUAAUCAUUCAACUCUCGUUAACAUUUUCAA